AAACUGCGAUAAGUAGUGUGAAUUGCAUUUAGUGAAUCAUCGAAUCUUUGAACGCACCUUGCACUCACUGGUAUUCCGGUGAGUACGCCUGUUUCAGUAUCAUUGAAAACACACAAUCAAAACAUUUUCUUUGGUUUGAUUGGCUUUGGGUCUAUCAAAAAGUUUGGCUUGUUUCUUACAAGCCAAGCGGCCUGAAAUAUAUCGUCUGGCUAAUUGCAUCGUUGAUGAUCGCUAUUAGACUUUGGCUUUUUUAAAUGAACUGGAGGUUGAUUAACCAGUUUUAGCUUUAGUCAAAUGGUCAUUGUAAAAAAAAUCUCGAUCUUGGCUAGGUGUUUAUAGCCGAAAAUUUUUUUUUUGGCUAUAACCGAAACCAAUAUAAUCACAUUUAGUUAUCGAUCUGAAAUCAGGUGGGACUACCCGCUGAACUUAAGC
rnacentral:misc_RNA from 1 species